GAAGAUAUGACGGUACUUGAGGAAUAAGCCACGGCUAAUUCCGUGCCAGCAGCCGCGGUAAUACGGGAGUGGCAAGCGUUAUCCGGAAUUAUUGGGCGUAAAGCGUCCGCAGGCGGCUUUUCAAGUCUGCUGUUAAAGCGUGGAGCUUAACUCCAUCAUGGCAGUGGAAACUGAAAGGCUUGAGUAUGGUAGGGGCAGAGGGAAUUCCCGGUGUAGCGGUGAAAUGCGUAGAUAUCGGGAAGAACACCAGUGGCGAAGGCGCUCUGCUGGGCCAUUACUGACGCUCAUGGACGAAAGCCAGGGGAGCGAAAGGGAUUAGAUACCCCUGUAGUCCUGGCCGUAAACGAUGAACACUAGGUGUCGGGGGAAUCGACCCCUUCGGUGUCGUAGCUAACGCGUUAAGUGUUCCGCCUGGGGAGUACGCACGCAAGUGUGAAACUCAAAGGAAUUGACGGGGGCCCGCACAAGCGGUGGAGUAUGUGGUUUAAUUCGAUGCAACGCGAAGAACCUUACCAGGGUUUGACAUCCUGCGAACCUCUUAGAAAUUUGAGGGUGCCUUCGGGAAUGCAGUGACAGGUGGUGCAUGGCUGUCGUCAGCUCGUGUCGUGAGAUGUUGGGUUAAGUCCCGCAACGAGCGCAACCCACGUUUUUAGUUGCCAGCAUUUAGUUGGGCACUCUAGAAAGACCGCCGGUGAUAAACCGGAGGAAGGUGUGGAUGACGUCAAGUCAUCAUGCCCCUUACACCCUGGGCUACACACGUACUACAAUGCUACGGACAAAGGGCAGCAAACUCGCGAGAGCUAGCAAAUCCCAUAAACCGUGGCUCAGUUCAGAUC
rnacentral:rRNA from 1 species